rnacentral:misc_RNA from 1 species
GACGUCUUCCUUAAAACCUCUCCUUGCACCAAAACCAAACACCAAGCUAAUGCCAUCGAUAGGACCUCAGUAUUUGCAAAACGAAACAAAACCCAAAACUGUACAACCUAUACCUAUAAAGGAUUCACCAAGUCGGAGAGAACCGCCAUCCCUCGUCUAGAGGGCAAGGGAAAGUCACCGGAAAUGCUCGACUACAAUCCGAGAGAAGGAAAAAGGAGUUUUCCUUCAGAGAAAAUUUC